rnacentral:rRNA from 1 species
UACGGGGGGGGCAAGCGUUGUUCGGAAUUACUGGGCGUAAAGGGCUCGUAGGUGGCCAACUAAGUCAGACGUGAAAUCCCUCGGCUUAACCGGGGAACUGCGUCUGAUACUGGAUGGCUUGAGUUUGGGAGAGGGACGCGGAAUUCCAGGUGUAGCGGUGAAAUGCGUAGAUAUCUGUAGGAACACCGGUGGCGAAGGCGGCGUCCUGGACCAACACUGACACUGAUGAGCGAAAGCCAGGGGAGCAAACGGG